GAUAGCUCAAUGUCCUUUGCUGCAUAAGGUAUAUGGUCCGAAGUCUCUGUAAUAGUACUUGGCUAGGUCUUAAAGGGCCGGUAGUGCCAUACGAAAUUCCAUUACUCCCAGCCAUUGUACUUAAAGGGGUCCUAUCUUUCUGGGACCAUAAUCACUGGGCAGGAGGUGCGCCAGCAGCCCCCUCCAGGAAACUGGGGCGUACUCUGGUAUAGGACCCAGUCC